ACUAUUUUGGCAGAAAAGUGUAUUAGAUUUAGAAUCUAUAAAUGUAAAAUUAUUACAAGUAGUA
rnacentral:tRNA from 1 species